rnacentral:rRNA from 1 species
GACGAACGCUGGCGGCGUGCUUAACACAUGCAAGUCGAACGGAAAGGCCUGCUUUCCCUUGUGGAUUGCGGGUACUCGAGUGGCGAACGGGUGAGUAACACGUGAGUGAUCUGCCCCCAACUUGGGUAUAAGCCUGGGAAACUGGGUCUAAUUCCCGAUAGGACUGCAGGGUGGUGCCUGUGGUGGAAAACGAUUUUCUAGUGGUUGGGGAUGAGCUCGCGGCCUAUCAGCUUGUUGGUGGGGUAAUGGCCUACCAAGGCGGCGACGGGUAGCCGGCCUGAGAGGGUGGACGGCCACAUUGGGACUGAGAUACGGCCCAGACUCCUACGGGAGGCAGCAGUGGGGAAUAUUGCACAAUGGGCGGAAGCCUGAUGCAGCGACGCCGCGUGGGGGAUGACGGCCUUCGGGUUGUAAACUCCUUUCGACCGCGAGGAAGCCACCUGGAUGGAAGGGUGGUGACGGUAGUGGUAGAAGAAGCACCGGCUAACUACGUG